GAUGAACGCUGGCGGCGUGCCUAAUACAUGCAAGUCGAGCGAACAGACGAGGAGCUUGCUCCUCUGACGUUAGCGGCGGACGGGUGAGUAACACGUGGAUAACCUACCUAUAAUACUGGGAUAACUUCGGGAAACCGGAGCUAACACCGGAUAAUAUAUUGAACCGCAUGGUUCAAUAGUGAAAGACGGUUUUGCUGUCACUUAUAGCUGGAUCCGCGCCGCAUUAUCUAGUUGGUAAGGUAAAGGCUUACCAAGGCAACGAUGCGUAGCCGACCUGUGAGGGUGAUCGGCCACACUAGAACAGGGACACGGUCCAGACUCCUACGAGAGGGAGCAGAAGGGAAUCUGCCGCAAUGGGCGAAAGCCUGACGGAGCGACGCCGCGUGUGUGAUGAAGAUCUUCGGAGCGUAAAACUCUGUUAUUAGGGAAGAACAAAUUUGUAAGUAACUAUGCACGUAUUGACGGUACCUAAUCAGAAAGCCACGGCUAACUACGUG
rnacentral:rRNA from 1 species